rnacentral:piRNA from 1 species
AAACAAAGAAACAGGUGGUGAGAAUGUGU